CCAAUAGCGUAUAUUAAAGUUGCUGCAGUUAAAAAGCUCGUAGUUGAAUUUCGGGAUCAAUAUGUUGGUCGUGCCUUGGUACGUACUAGCUUAUUGGUUUCUCCCUUCUGACGAACCAUGAUGUCAUUAAUUUGAUGUCAUGGGGAAUCAGGACUGUUACUUUGAAAAAAUUAGAGGGUUUAAAGCAGGCUCGCGCUUGAAUACAUUAGCAUGGAAUAAUGAAACAGGACCUUUGAUUCUAUUUUGUUGGUUUCUAGGAUCGAUGUAAUGAUUAAUAGGGAUAGUUGGGGGCAUUAGUAUUCAAUUGUCAGAGGUGAAAUUCUUGGAUUUAUUGAAGACUAACUACUGCGAAAGCAUUUGCCAAGGAUGUUUUCAUUAAUCAAGAACGAAAGUUAGGGGAUCGAAGACGAUCAGAUACCGUCGUAGUCUUAACCAUAAACUAUGCCGACUAGGGAUCGGAUGAUGUUAAUUUUUUAAUGACUCAUUCGGCGCCUUACG
rnacentral:rRNA from 1 species